rnacentral:ncRNA from 1 species
UCAGUUUGAUUCUGACUGAAAAUUUAGCUGACUUGACUCAAUAUACAUGUAAGUUUAAGCAAACCCGCUAUCAAGUCCCAUCUAAAAGAUUUAAAUAAAUACAUCAAGAUUACUAGACGUAAGAGCGCCACAGUAAAUAAUACUACUAAUAUGCAAAAGCAAGAAUUGGAUAUCAAGAAAGAGUUGGCAAAACUCGUGCCAGCUGCCGCGGUUAGACGAUAAACUCAAGCUAAUUAGUUCAUGAUUAAACACAUGGUGUUCUAAACAGUAAAUAAGGUCUAAUUUUAACAACUUAUGUUUCAUAUACAUCAAACCUUUGUGAAAGCAUAUACAAAAACACGGAUUAGAUACCCGUCUAUUUAUGCCCUAAAUAUAAUCGAAAAAUACGAACAAUAGUUUAAAAGUCAAAGAUUUUGGCGGUGUCUUAUCAAACCAGGGGAACCUGUCCCAUAAUUCGAUAGUCCACGACAACCUAACUCUUCCUAGACAUCAGCAUGUGUACUGCCGUCGUAUGCACACCUCUAAAAGACAGUAUGCAAUAAUGAUACUCUCAUAUACGUCAGGUCAAAGUGCAGCUAAUGGAAUAGUGGUGAUGGGUUACAAUCUUAACAGUGAUACGAAUUAUAGACUUAAAAUCUAUAUAAAGGUGGACUUGAAUGUAAUAAAUAUCCUAAGUAUUAAUGAAUGUGAAUCUAAGACAUGCACACAUCGCCCGUCACUCUCACCUAAAGGUGAGAUAAGUCGUAACAAAGUAGGUGUAACGGAAGUUGCACCUGU